rnacentral:lncRNA from 1 species
UCACUAUACCUGUCCUGUACUGGACAUUAUGGUAAACGCUUCUUUCCUGCACAAAUGACAAUUUCGCAACUUCUGUCCGGUUUGUACAAAAUUCUGGCCGCGAUAAACCAUUUGACUUGUUAACAACAUUUGGACAUAUUUCGCUACAACUAAUGUAUAAGCUUUUGGCCUAGAAAAGGUACUAAACGUUGUGAUGUUUUGAACAGGAGAUGUCCCGCUGAAUGGUAUGAAACCGUUAAGGAUGAGAUUAAUGUUAACGGACACCAAACUUCAGUGUUUAUCUAUGGACUAGAUGUUAAAGCAAUCAAAUCAUGGUGGGAUAAAUUCAUUUCUUACGAACCAAAUAUGAUAUACGAGAACAGAACUGCGCUUCAUUUGUUUAUCACAUCACGCACUUUGUGUAGGAUCGAGCUGGUUUGAAAAGAACACAGGAGAAUGUGUUGGAAUCAAAACUCCAACACGUGUUUUCCACUACGUACAGAAUGGUUACAAUAAGGGAACAAAAAUAGGAUGCGGUAGGUCAUGUACACACUGUCUAUCGUUAUAUCCUUAUCUUGUUUUCGGUUUCUUUUCUAAUAACGUUGACAAAUGUGUGGUAUUGGCUCAGAAAUAUCUCAAGUUCAGACAUAUAGCAGAACAAGGCAAAACUUUUACGAAAUGUGAAAUUGAAGAUACCUCAUCAAAUGUUGAGGAAAGUGAUGAAUCAAUCAAAGAUGCUACGGUAUGUCAAGAUUUGCAUGAAAAGAAAGAAAACCUCCAACCAAGUGUACAACAAUUAGUGACAAUUUAGAAGAUUUUAUUGACUUACAGACGAAAGGUAGAAGAAAAAGUUUGCCGGACAUAAAGCUUUUCUGUCAACCAGACAGGGAUACCUACGGUGAAGCAAAACUCGUUCCUUCAAAUGGUGAAAAUGGCGUUAGAUAUAGAACAUGAAUAAGGGAAUGUGUUUGAAACAAUAAUUUUCUCAGAGAUAUUUAGGCAAAAUCACUCGCAAGAAGACAAGACAUCCUUACUUCACAAGUAAUGUCUAAAGAAACUAUAUACAAAGGAGGCAAUCGUUAUCAGUUUAUGCUGGUAUAAAUUCAAGAAGCUGUUCAUGAAUACAUUGACCUGUUGAACGCAUACAGAGUGACUAAACUAUGCAAAAAAUGUAUCACAAUGCUGAGCAACACAGAAAAUGUACGGAGGAGAAAGAACAGAAAGACGUACAGCUGUCAGGAAUUUUCGAAAAUCAGCACUCUGUUGGAGUGCAUUCUGCGACACGCAUACAUGAAUAAAUAAUGAUCAACGAUGCUGCUAAAGUAAUAUAUUGACGUAACAAAAGUGCAUCAACAAUUGUUGGACUGCUGUGUUGAAUUGUUUUCGUGCGACAUGUGUCGCAGUAUGAAAGGACAGCGAAAGAGAUUGUUGGUGUAAAAAAUUAUGUCUAUAACAGGACAUAUAUCUAGAUUUAAUGGAAAAUCAAAAAUGUUUUCAUGCGUGAACGUUUUAUGGAGGAGAAACGAAACACAAUUAUUUUUAUGUAACAGAUCAGUGCUGCAUUUUUGUAAAACAAAAUGCACACAGUAUGACCAUUUAUGGAUUGUUUUUAUGCAGUUAAAAUGUUGCCUGAUUAUAUUUUGUGAAAAUUAUACUUUAUCAAGGUUGUUUCUACAGUGUAGUGAAUGUACAUUAAUUUUAUCAUGCUAUAAUCACACGAUUUCAACACACUGAUCAAAUUAUAUCAAGUUAUAAUGAAAGACAUCUAUGCAAUAUUACGCUAUUUGCUUUGUAUUUUGAUUUCUGAUUAACCAGGAAAUUUUGUGGUAAUGUAAAUUUUAAGGAAAUAUGUAUAAUGUUUCAAUUAGUGUCCAUCUUAAUUGAUAUUUGCAUGCAUUUAAGAAGCGUUUGUAUUUUGGGAACAAGUAUUUGGUCUUAAAUAAAUGUACCGGUUUAUCA